rnacentral:rRNA from 1 species
UACAGAGGUCUCAAGCGUUGUUCGGAUUCAUUGGGCGUAAAGGGUGCGUAGGUGGCGGGGCAAGUUUGGUGUGAAAUCCCGGGGCUCAACCCUGGAACUGCACUGAAUACUGCUUUGCUAGAGUACUGGAGAGGGAACUGGAAUUUACGGUGUAGCAGUGAAAUGCGUAGAUAUCGUAAGGAAGACCAGUGGCGAAGGCGAGUUCCUGGACAGUUACUGACACUGAGGCACGAAGGCCAGGGGAGCAAACGGG